UGGCGGACGGGUGAGUAACGCGUGGGUAACCUGCCCCAUACAGGGGAGUAACAGAUAGAAAUGUCUGCUAAUACCGCAUAAGACCACAGCACCGCAUGGUGCAGGGGUAAAAACUCCGGUGGUAUGGGAUGGACCCGCGUCUGAUUAGCUGGUUGGUGAGGUAACGGCUCACCAAGGCAACGAUCAGUAGCCGACCUGAGAGGGUGACCGGCCACAUUGGGACUGAGACACGGCCCAAACUCCUACGGGAGGCAGCAG
rnacentral:rRNA from 1 species